UGAGGCUGUGGCCCCUCUGUUAUUGUGGGGUGUUCCUCUGUAUGGGUUGAAGCCUUCUGGAGUUGUGUGAGGAUGCUCUGUGUAUCACAGCUGUCUCUGCUGGCCUGACUCAUCUGGAAUUCUGUGGCUCUGUGACUUCACCAUGUGGAGAAAGAUCUCCUGCAGGCAGGGAUAGCCAUAAACCACUGGAACAAAUUGUUCAGAAAAAAUGAAUUGUCUGUUGACUGUAGACUUCGAAUCUAGGCCAGCUGCCAUUCUGUAAAAAAGAAGAUAUCAAGCUUAAAUCAGGUAGUGCUUGAGGAAUGCUUGAGUUGUGUUAAACAAGCAUUGGACAUGCUGAGCUCACAGGCUCCUUGGAUUUAAUAAUCUAAACCCCAGGAUUAAUUUACUCCCAUCUCAACAUCAACACUGCAGAAUUCCAUGCUGAAGAUGUCUUUCCAGGAUUCCUUUACAACUUGGGAAAUGAAUAAACACCUCCAGGUCAUGAUUCAUCUCACCCUAAUGCAGACAUCUGAAAUUAUGCUUAUUUUUCUCCACUGAGGAGUCUAGACAGGUUGUUUAGCCAUAAAUGGUAGAUU